rnacentral:rRNA from 1 species
AUGAACGCUGGCGGCGUGCCUCAUCCAUGCAAGUCGAGCGAACAGACGAGGAGCUUGCUCCUCCGACGUUAGCGGCGGACGGGUGAGUAACACGUGGAUAACCUACCUAUAAGACUGGGAUAACUUCGGGAAACCGGAGCUAAUACCGGAUAAUAUAUUGAACCGCAUGGUUCAAUAGUGAAAGACGGUUUUGCUGUCACUUAUAGAUGGAUCCGCGCCGCAUUAGCUAGUUGGUAAGGUAACGGCUUACCAAGGCAACGAUGCGUAGCCGACCUGAGAGGGUGAUCGGCCACACUGGAACUGAGACACGGUCCAGACUCCUACGGGAGGCAGCAGUAGGGAAUCUUCCGCAAUGGGCGAAAGCCUGACGGAGCAACGCCGCGUGAGUGAUGAAGGUCUUCGGAUCGUAAAACUCUGUUAUUAGGGAAGAACAAAUGUGUAAGUAACUAUGCACGUCUUGACGGUACCUAAUCAGAAAGCCACGGCUAACUACGUG